rnacentral:rRNA from 1 species
GACAGAGGUGCCAAGCGUUAGGCGGAAUCACUGGGCUUAAAGCGUGUGUAGGCGGAUCGUUAAGUACCUUGUGAAGUCCCACGGCUCAACCGUGGAACUGCUUGGCAUACUGGCGGUCUUGAGCAACCUAGGGGCGAGCGGAACAAAUGGUGGAGCGGUGAAAUGCGUAGAUAUCAUUUGGAACGCCAACGGUGAAAACAGCUCGCUGGGGGUGUGCUGACGCUGAGACACGAAAGCCAGGGGAGCGAACGGG